CGCCACGGGGUGCGGGAGUGAAGAACACAGCGAGACAUGGAUGCUGCUGGAAACACAGGAAGGCUACUCUACAAAAUUUACAGGGCGCUUACCUACGGUUUAACACCGUUAGUGCACCUUCACCUACGGUGGCGCCGUCGCCGAGGCCUCGAGCACCCGACCCGUUGGCCUGAGAGAUUGGGCCGCCCCUCACUCCCUCGCCCCUCUGGUCCUCUUCUCUGGUUUCACGCUGUCUCCUUAGGUGAAGGAAUGGCGGCGAUCCCUGUCAUUAAACGGUUUGUUCAAUGCAGGCCUGAUUUAAACAUCUUGAUGACAACUACAACCUUGUCUGCUUUUGAAGUCAUAAAGAAUCAGCUUCCAAGUAGUGUUUUAUACCAGUUUUCCCCACUUGAUACCCCUACUGAUGUGGACACUUUCCUUGAUUAUUGGAAGCCAAAUGCAAUCAUGAUAUUGGAGAGUGAACUAUGGCCGAAUCUUAUCAUGGGUUCAUCAAGAAAGGGUAUUUCACUGGCAUUGUUGAAUGCUCGAGUGUCUAUGAAAUCCUUUAGGUUAUGGUCUCAACCAGUGCUUCUUCCGCUGAUUUCACUAAUGCUUUCUAAAUUUUCCCUGAUCAUCCCACUGAGUUCUAUGCAGGCAAUUCGCUUCCAGAUUUUGCAGGCCCCGCCUUUUAUCAUCAACUUUUCUGGUGAUUUGAAAUAUGCAAUAGAAUGUGAUGCUUCUAAUGGAGAGACAGGAAGCAUAGAAGAUCUGAAAGGACAGCUUGCCUCAAGACGCGUUUGGAUGGCUUCUUCCAUACAUCGGGGUGAAGAAAAAGUUAUGCUGGGAGUUCACAAAGCACUCAUACAAGUAUACCCCGAUCUAGUCACUAUAAUUGUACCUCGUAAUCCACAGCAUGGACUAGAGAUCGCUCAGGAAUUGCAGAAAGGAGGGCAAAAUGUAGCUUUGAGGUCUCAACAUCAAAGGAUUAUGCCAGGAACACAAAUUUACAUGGUCAACACAUUAGGUGAACUGAGAUGUUUGUACAGGUUAUCACCAGUAGCUGUAAUUGGAGGUUCCUUCUUCCCUGGUUUAGCUGGCCACAAUAUAUCAGAAGCCGCAGCCGCUGGCUGUGCAGUUUUGACUGGUCAUCAUGUUGGUCAUUUCUCACACAUGGUAAAGGAAAUGCAACGCUUAAAUCCCUUAUCAAUCAUUCAGGUAUCUGGUACCUUAGAGCUUGAAGAAGCUAUUAUGGAACUCCUUAAUGAUACCAAAGUACUAGAUGCACGGCGCAUGGCUGCAAAACAAGCAUUUUGUGCUCUGUCCCAUGGCAUUAUUGCUAAUGUUUGGAACCUGCUAAAUUUUCAUGUUCUGAGAGUAUCUUUGCAAGAAAGUUGAUGAAGACUGGCACACAGCAAAUCGAUUGUGAAAAUGAGGUUUGUCUUUGCCUCCUGCAUGAAAGCUGUUCAUGAAAGUAGCAUCAAAGUACUGCCAGCUCUGGAGCUCAAGCCCUUGAAGUAGCAUUGAAUCCUUCAACAAACAAGAGAACUUGGCUCGCAUUUGCUUCAUGCCUUCACCUCUUUGCAAAUGGAUUAUAUCUUAGAACAGAAACACAGCACACGGUGUAACCAUAGGACCAUUUUGUUAUGACCAUACUCUUCAUAUGCUGUCUAGCAGGUGCCUGAAAAUUGGUUGGCUCAAAUAACCUGCUCUAAUAACAAAACUUUUACCUGCUUCCCCCACCAUGACAACUAAAUGUCCAGAAGUAACAUCUCAGGGCAGUUUCUUCUUA